rnacentral:rRNA from 1 species
UACGAAGGGGGCUAGCGUUGCUCGGAAUCACUGGGCGUAAAGCGCACGUAGGCGGAUUGCUAAGUCAGGGGUGAAAUCCUGGAGCUCAACUCCAGAACUGCCUUUGAUACUGGCAACCUUGAGUCCGGGAGAGGUGAGUGGAACUGCGAGUGUAGAGGUGAAAUUCGUAGAUAUUCGCAAGAACACCAGUGGCGAAGGCGGCUCACUGGCCCGGUACUGACGCUGAGACGCGAAAGCGUGGGGAGCAAACAGG